rnacentral:tRNA from 1 species
CUAAGAGAUUUCUUAAAAAAAUUUUAUUUACAUCAAAAUUAUCCUGCUUAAUUCAGGCUCUUAGA